ensembl:lncRNA
UUAAAAUUACUAUUCCCUUUAUUCUACCUGUUUUAGCUUUUAUUUGCUCUUCUUUCUCCACCUACUUCUCCACCUAAGAUUAGAUGAUUGAUUUUAGAUCCUCUUCUUUUCCAAUAUAUACAUUUAAUGCUAUAAAUCUCCUUCUAAGCACUGUUUUUCCUGUACCCCACAUAUUUUGAUUUUUAAAACAAUUUUUAAUGAGCUCAAAAUGUUUAAAAUUUUUUCUUGAGACUUCUUCUUGAGCUGUGUGUUAUUUAGAAGUGUGCUGUGUUCAUCAAACAAGGAGUUCAUCGGUGUGGUGGUAAGGUGUGGAUGAGGGAGAGUGUAUUAUCUUCCAUCUAAACCUCGGUCUUCUAGCCAGCCUGUGUCUCAGGACUGUGACCUCACCAAGUACUUCUCUAGUUAUAAGGCUCCUACUCCAUAUCCCCCUGUUGCCCCCUCCUUUCUCUAAUUCCCAAUUUGCUUUCCUGAAGUCCUGACCCUGCUGACUAUUUUCCCCAUUUUCUGAGACUGGAAGCCUGGAGAGGAGGAAUUCUCUUCCCCGACCUGGGAUAAAGACCAAGUAAAGUGCUUUGCCCUGGAGCAGGCUUUGUUCCAAAGACUGUGGGCCUAAUUUCAAAGUGGCUCUUCUUCCAGCUCCCCACCCUCUGACAAAGCCCUAUGGGGAUCUUUCUCUGAUCUUCACAGGAGAACCUGGUGGGUUUCUUGGAGGAAAAGUCCAAGGAAGUGUGGAAGCCCCAGAAAACCGUAACCUGUGGAGUUUCUCACUGUUAUGAGCGUCCACACUCGGCCUCAAACAAUUCAUCAAAAGCACAACAAAUGAGUGUUGUUCCUGAUAGUUUAUGGUGCCAGCAACUGAUGUUCCAGGCAGGCAGACCCCAGAUCCAUCUCUCUGGAUGUGCCUGUCCCUCCAAAUUUCAGAGCGGCAGUUCUCUCUUGAGACCCAUGAAAGUUUUGAUUUUCAUUUUGUUCAGCUUUUCUUGCUGUACUGUGGAAGCUGAACUGGGAAGUCUCCUCAACCUAUUUUUAAUGACUUAAUAUUAUCCAGCUUCUCCAAAUCCCCAGAGUCAAGAGCUUAGGUCAUCUUGACUGUUUUACGGUCCUUUAAAAAUAAGUUGUACUAUAAAAAACUCCAUUUCAAAGGCAAAAUGAGUAAUAUGACAUUAAACUUAACAAAUUCAGGAUAUACACUUUUAAAAAAAUCAGUAACAGAAAACAGAAUGUAAAUUAAAUUUUGUAACUAUGGGAGUUCCCGUUGUGGCUCAGCAGUAACGAACACGAUCAGUAUUCAUGAGGACUCAGGUUCGAUCCCUGGCCUCAAUCAAUGGUUAAGGAUCCAGGUGUUGCUAUGGCUGUGGUGUAGGCCAGCAGCUGCAGCUCCGAUUUGACCCCUAGCCUGGGAACUUCCAUAUACCAUGGGUACAGCCCUAAAAAAGACCCGCCCAAAAAAAAUUGUAACUAUGAUGAGCCUUUGAGAAGAUUUUUUAAAUGACUAUAACUAUUAAUCAGAGUGCAUAAUUCUAAUAAUGGAUGGAGAAUAAAAUAAUAAAUAUAAAGAAAACAAAUAUAACAUUCUUUAUAAUUUUUAUCACUUAAAACUGGUAAGGUCACUUACUACCUUAACUGACAGAAAACUGUAACUAGUAUAUAACUGUAAUGUAAGUAUAUAAUGAAGAUUAAGGCAAGCAAGAAUUCACGGACUUUUCUGACAAAGUAAAAUAAAUGGGAAAACUGUACUUUGGGUGGUGAAUUUUUCCCAAGGAAAUUAAUGUUCUUAUUCACUCAAGCUGCUCUAUAAUGAAGUUCUCUAGGGCAUCAUUUCUUUAUCUGUAUGUAGAGGUGACUCAUAUGCCCCAAGAUCUCCAUCUUGAGCUAACCAGUUAAGUUAAUGGUAACCAAUACUCUCUAGUAAUUAAGGUAUCUUCUAAUACAGAAGGAGUCAUUAAUUUAAAGGAAUCAAUGUGUCACGUCAACAGAUUUGCAAGUUUGAUUGGAAAGCUUUCCUUCUUUAUGGAAAUCUAGGAGUUCCCAUCGUGGCGCAGUGGUUAACGAAUCCGACUAGGAACCAUGAGGUUGCGGGUUCAGUCCCUGCCCUUGCUCAGUGGGUUAAUGAUCCGGCGUUGCCGUGAGCUGUGGUGUAGGUUGCAGACGCGGCUCGGAUCCCGCGUUGCUGUGGCUCUGGCGUAGGCCGGUGGCUACAGCUCCGAUUCAACCCCUAGCCUGGGAACCUCCAUAUGC